rnacentral:rRNA from 1 species
UUGAUAGGGCAGGGGUGGAAGUGCAGCAAUGCAUGGAGCUGACUGCUACUAAUAGGUCGAAGGCUUGACCA